rnacentral:rRNA from 1 species
CGGUUUGUCGCGUCUGCCGUGAAAGUCCGGGGCUCAACUCCGGAUCUGCGGUGGGUACGGGCAGACUAGAGUGAUGUAGGGGAGACUGGAAUUCCUGGUGUAGCGGUGAAAUGCGCAGAUAUCAGGAGGAACACCGAUGGCGAAGGCAGGUCUCUGGGCAUUAACUGACGCUGAGGAGCGAAAGCAUGGGGAGCGAACAGGAUUAGAUACCCUGGUAGUCCAUGCCGUAAACGUUGGGCACUAGGUGUGGGGGACAUUCCACGUUUUCCGCGCCGUAGCUAACGCAUUAAGUGCCCCGCCUGGGGAGUACGGCCGCAAGGCUAAAACUCAAAGGAAUUGACGGGGGCCCGCACAAGCGGCGGAGCAUGCGGAUUAAUUCGAUGCAACGCGAAGAACCUUACCAAGGCUUGACAUGAACCGGUAAUACCUGGAGACAGGUGCCCCGCUUGCGGUCGGUUUACAGGUGGUGCAUGGUUGUCGUCAGCUCGUGUCGUGAGAUGUUGGGUUAAGUCCCGCAACGAGCGCAACCCUCGUUCUAUGUUGCCAGCACGUGAUGGUGGGGACUCAUAGGAGACUGCCGGGGUCAACUCGGAGGAAGGUGGGGACGACGUCAAAUCAUCAUGCCCCUUAUGUCUUGGGCUUCACGCAUGCUACAAUGGCCGGUACAAAGGGUUGCGAUACUGUGAGGUGGAGCUAAUCCCAAAAAGCCGGUCUCAGUUCGGAUUGGGGUCUGCAACUCGAGCCCCAUGAAGUCGGAGUCGUCUAGUAAUCG